AAUUAAGGCAUACACCUUCAGAAUUAACUGAGAUGCUACGGAAUUAAGGCAUAUGCCAUCAGAAUUAACUUAGACCCUACAUAAUUAAGGCAUAUGCCUUCAGAAUUAAAUUAGAUGCUAUGGAACUAAGGCAUAAGCCUUCAGAAUUAACUUAGAUCCUAUGUAAUUAAAGCCAUAUAGAUUCAGAAUUAAUUCCGAUGCUAUGGAAUUAAAGUCAUAUAACUUCAGAAUGAAAUUAGAGCCUAUGUAAUUAAGGAAUAUGCCUUCAGAAUUAACUUAGAUCCUAUGCAAUUAGUGGCAUAUGCCUUCAGAGUUAACGUAGAUGCUAUGGAAUUAAGGCAUAUUCCCUCUGAAUUAACUUCAACCCCAUGCAAUUAAGGCGUAUGCUUUUAUAAUUAAUUCAGAUCCUAUGCAAUUAAG